UUUAUUAUUAUUAUUACUUAAAUAAAAUUAUUGUUUAGGAAUUUUUAAUAAAUAUUUUUUCUUUAAAUAAUAGAUAAUAAGAAUUGUUAAUAAAAAAGAAAGAAAAACUCUCUCACACUCCAACGUCUCUCUCUGCUACAAAAAAGAACAAAAAAUAAAAUAAAAGGAGGAAAAGGUGGUCAGAAGGUUGAAAAAAGGCGACACGUCUUAUCUUCUUUCCCACCCUGUCAUUCACGAAAAAGGAGGAAAGAAAAGGAGAAGCGUACACGUUUCCCUCAUCGGUCUCUCUUAUAAUCACCUACCAAAAACUUCUUCAGACAGACUCCCACUCCUUCUCUUCUUCACAACAUCCCACCAACACCAAAAAUCACUCACCAAC
rnacentral:lncRNA from 1 species